UAGACCAAACCAAGCCGAUCCUUGCUUGCCAACAUCGCGAUUCGAGUUACUGGUCGAUCCAACUACGAUAAUCAACCAUAAAAUCGCUUUUCACAUUCAAUAUGAGCGAAACGGAUUUUUUGGACAACUCGCACCCGACUAUUAUGUGAUAUGGAGUGAUUUGUUU